rnacentral:rRNA from 1 species
ACGAGUUUGAUCCUGGCUCAGAUUGAACGCUGGCGGCAUGCUUUACACAUGCAAGUCGAACGGUAACAGGGAGCUUGCUCCGCUGACGAGUGGCGAACGGGUGAGUAAUGCAUCGGAACGUACCCAGUCGUGGGGGAUAACGUAGCGAAAGUUACGCUAAUGCCGCAUACGUCCUGAGGGAGAAAGCGGGGGACCGAAAGGCCUCGCGCGAUUGGAGCGGCCGAUGUCGGAUUAGCUAGUUGGUAGGGUAAAGGCCUACCAAGGCGACGAUCCGUAGCGGGUCUGAGAGGAUGAUCCGCCACACUGGGACUGAGACACGGCCCAGACUCCCACGGGAGGCAGCAGUGGGGAAUUUUGGACAAUGGGCGCAAGCCUGAUCCAGCCAUGCCGCGUGCAGGAAGACGGUCCUAUGGAUUGUAAACUGCUUUUAUACAGGAAGAAACACUGGUUCGUGAACCAGCUUGACGGUACUGUAAGAAUAAGGAUCGGCUAACUCCGUG